AUUUAAAGAUUGUCGGUUUGAUAAAGCGGUUAUGUAAUUUUGCUGUGAUUUCUCAUGCGUCGUGCCCAAGUAUAUCUGCUUUACGUACUACCGACAACAGAAACAAAAUGGUUCUAUGCAAGAAGUGGACGUUGGCGAAACCAUUCAUCGGAAAAGUCACCCCUGAUAACUUCAAGCUUGUUAAGGAAGAUAUUCCAGAAAAAUUGAAUGAUGGGGAGCUGUUGUGCGAAGCAGUUUAUUUGACUGUUGAUCCAUACAUGAGGUAAUUUUCUUAACGUUAAACUGACAUCGUUCUUCGUGGUGUGUACUUGAUAUUAAUAUGUUGUCAUCCAGCCAAAAGAUUAAUAAAUAUGUGUAAAAAUAUACAAAUGUAAUUAGGGUUUUUUUACUCUAAAUUUAUAAUACUUUCAUGUUAAAUACUGAAAUCUGAUUGGUUUAGACGCAGUUGAUAAUCCGUUCUAUUACCCUCAGUGUUAGCAACACACUUAGCAACGGGUAACACAACGAAUUGUUACAUGCGCGUAAAUUAAGCGCGUACGGUUCGCCGUAGAAUUCACGUCAUUUCUAUAUAAAAGCAAUAUCAAACAUUCUCUAAUAUUAAGACAUUCAGUAUAAUAAAAUAAAUAGUGCCUGUUUGGGAGGACAACAGUUGAAAUUGACACCCCUCGAAAACCAAUUGUUUCCUCGGGGUGUCAAUUUCAACUGUUACCCUCCGAAACAGGCACUAUUUAUAUAAUAGUGAUUUUUUGUUUUACACAGGAGUUUUAGUAUAGUGUUAUUUUGUUUGCAAUAUUAAAAUCUUUAAACAAUCAUUCAUGUUACAGUUUCAGUAGAGUUCAAACUUUCGAUAACUAGAUUUCACGGCAUUUCUUAGUAAGACAUUAAAUUAUUGGCCUGUGUAGUACACUGAGUAUAUUUUGCUAAUAACAUAAUAUUAUAUGGAACUAAAUGUUUCUUUUACUUAUUUUAUUUAUUUAAAUUUCCUACAGAAUUGGAGCUGAGACCGGAAAUGCUGUAGGCAAUACACUUUUCGGAGAGCAAAUCGCAAAGGUAAUUGUCAGUAAGAACGCCAAAUACCCCGUGGGUUCGAUCGUACGCAUGUAUGCAGGAUGGCGCACGCACACCUUGGUAAAAGACGCCGAGAAAGAGAUCUCCCGCUCAGCGGAAAUGGGUGACCUCCCCUUGUCUCUGAUGUUGGGAGCCAUGGGUAUGCCUGGCAUGACGGCUUAUUUUGGCUUUUUGGAACUCUGCCAACCGAAAGCAGGUGAGACGGUGGUGGUUAGCGGUGCCGCGGGGGCGGUCGGGAGCUUGGUUGGACAGAUCGCAAAAAUCAAGGGAUGCAAAGUGAUUGGAUUCGCCGGAACUGAGGAGAAGUGUAAGUGGAUCAAGGAAGAACUGGGCUUUGACUUUGCCUACAACUACAAGAAAACGGAUGUCGACACGGCUCUGAAGGAAGCUGCUCCUGACAAAAGCGUGGACUGCUACUUUGAUAAUGUCGGUGGUAUGUUUACUGUUAAGGUCCUGACCCAUAUGAAGACAUUUGGGAGAGUUUCAAUUUGUGGCUCCAUUUCUAAUUAUAACGACACCAGUGUACCAACAGGACCACUGCCUUUCUUUAGCAUACUGAAGUCCCAGCUAAGAGUAGAGGGGUUCAUUGUUUCAAGGUGGUAUUCAAGGUGGGAAGAAGGGGAACCUGCCAUGCUCCAAUGGAUUAAAGAGGGCAAAAUUAAAUACAAAGAACAUGUGACGGAGGGAUUUGAAAAGAUGCCUGAUGCUUUUAUAGGUUUAUUUGAAGGACGCAACACCGGAAAAGCUAUUAUAAAAAUGUGAUGAGACAUCUUUUUCAAUAAUAUUGUACAAGUACAAUAGUUUGUUAGGUUUUUUUAAUAAUGCACUGUAAAUGACGUAAUAAAUAUUCAAUGUCC
rnacentral:misc_RNA from 1 species